rnacentral:rRNA from 1 species
ACACGUGGUAACCUGCCUUAUAGUGGGGGAUAGCCUUUCGAAAGGAAGAUUAAUACCGCAUAAGAUUGUAGUAUCGCAUGAUAUAGCAAUUAAAGGAGCAAUUCGCUAUAAGAUGGACCCGCGUCGCAUUAGCUAGUUGGUGAGGUAAUGGCUCACCAAGGCGACGAUGCGUAGCCGACCUGAGAGGGUGAUCGGCCACAUUGGGACUGAGACACGGCCCAGACUCCUACGGGAGGCAGCAUG